rnacentral:rRNA from 1 species
GACGAACGCUGGCGGCGUGCUUAACACAUGCAAGUCGAACGGAAAGGCCCUGCUUUUGUGGGGUGAUCGAGUGGCGAACGGGUGAGUAACACGUGAGUAACCUGCCCUUGACUUUGGGAUAACUUCAGGAAACUGGGGCUAAUACCGGAUAGGAGCUCCUGCUGCAUGGUGGGGGUCGGAAAGUUUCGGCGGUUGGGGAUGGACUCGCGGCUUAUCAGCUUGUUGGUGGGGUAGUGGCUUACCAAGGCUUUGACGGGUAGCCGGCCUGAGAGGGUGACCGGCCACAUUGGGACUGAGAUACGGCCCAGACUCCUACGGGAGGCAGCAGUGGGGAAUAUUGCACAAUGGGCGGAAGCCUGAUGCAGCAACGCCGCGUGCGGGAUGACGGCCUUCGGGUUGUAAACCGCUUUCGCCUGUGACGAAGCGUGAGUGACGGUAAUGGGUAAAGAAGCACCGGCUAACUACGUG